CCGUCAUCUUUGCGCCUCUCGUACAAAACACUCUUUUAGGGUUUGCUCUAAACCUUCCUCGAGCUAACUCAAACCCAGCUCCUACUCCGCCUCUUUGGCCAUUCUUAGGACCGUCGUGUUCAUUAUGUUCGUGUUGGAGUGUUCCGCUAACUUGUUUUCCAGAUGCGAGAACCCCUAUCAGUAGUAAUGGUAAUAGGGAUGUUGCAGCUUGAUGGAUUGGAUGGAUAUUGGGCCCACUGUGGGGCCCAUCACUGAAGAAUUUUAUUAUUUACGUUUCCCUUUUCCGAAUAAUACCUAGUUUAAUUAUUUUUUUUCCAGAGUAUUUCUGCUUGGACAGUGUGGAGUCCUUUUUUUUUUUGUAAUCUGGGUAUAUCUGACGUAUGAUAUACCCUUAUAUCUUAAACUCCAUAGUCUCUUAAUAUUCAUAUAUGUGAUGUUUUA